AGUCUCCUGUUCAGCUGGCUCUGCAUGAAUUAAACUUUUUCUCUAUUGCAGGACCCCUGUCUCGAUAAAUUGGCUCUAUCUGGGCUACAGGCAAGGAGAACCUGUUGAACAGUUACAACCGGAGGAGAGCCAAGGCUACUCAUGAGCACAGUCAUACAUCCAUGCUAACAACAGAUGAAUCUGUUACUGUAUUUGUUCUUAUCAAGAGGAGCAAGCAAGAGAACUGAAAAUAACAAGAUAUAUUUGAGAGACGAGCUAGAAAAAGAAAGCAGGGUCACCACCUCCGUCAGACCUUUCCGGGACAGACUCGAGCCGGCAGAGCAGCCGCUCGCCCCAGAGCCGUGGUGUCUUCCUGGUGUGUGGGUGCCACCGCGUGGCAAAACAGGGCAACUGUAGGAAUCGACUUUACAUCUCUUUGGAGCUCAUCGGUGCCUUUCUUUUAGACUCAUAUGGCAGGAACAAGAAGUGCACAUGCCAAAAGAAAGGCAGAGGGCUGCGGGAGCAAGAUGGGUUGCAAGGGGCAUGAUGACUAAUGCAAUCCUGGCACCUCUUCUUCCAGCAUUAUAAGGACAUAUAGAAUAAUUGUGCAUGAGUUAUUGUGACAGUAGCACCUUUCAAAAAUAUAUAGCAUUGUGGAAACAGAACCCUCCGGAU
rnacentral:lncRNA from 1 species